rnacentral:rRNA from 1 species
GUGCCAGCCGCCGCGGUAAUACAUAGGGGUCAAGCGUUGUCCGGAUUUAUUGGGCGUAAAGAGCUCGUAGGCGGCUCAACAAGUCGGUCGUAAAAGUUUAGGGCUCAACCCUAAAAUGUCGAUCGAUACUGUUGUGACUAGGAUACGGUAGAGGUGAAUGGAAUUCCGAGUGUAGCGGUGAAAUGCGUAGAUAUUCUGAGGAACGCCAAUUGCGAAGGCAGUUCACUGGACCGGGAUCGACGCUGAGGAUCGAAAGCUGGGGGAGCCAACAGGAUUAGAUA